rnacentral:rRNA from 1 species
AUGAACGCUGGCGGCGUGCCUAAUACAUGCAAGUCGAGCGAACAGACGAGGAGCUUGCUCCUCUGACGUUAGCGGCGGACGGGUGAGUAACACGUGGAUAACCUACCUAUAAGACUGGGAUAACUUCGGGAAACCGGAGCUAAUACCGGAUAAUAUAUUGAACCGCAUGGUUCAAUAGUGAAAGACGGUUUUGCUGUCACUUAUAGAUGGAUCCGCGCCGCAUUAGCUAGUUGGUAAGGUAACGGCUUACCAAGGCAACGAUGCGUAGCCGACCUGAGAGGGUGAUCGGCCACACUGGAACUGAGACACGGUCCAGACUCCUACGGGAGGCAGCAGUAGGGAAUCUUCCGCAAAGGGCGAAAGCCUGACGGAGUAACGCCGCGUGAGUGAUGAAGGUCUUCGGAUCGUAAAACUCUGUUAUUAGGGAAGAACAAAUGUGUAAGUAACUAUGCACGUCUUGACGGUACCUAAUCAGAAAGCCACGGCUAACUACGUG